rnacentral:rRNA from 1 species
AUUGCUGCCCAGUGACUUCUAAGUUAAACGGCCGCGGUAUUCUGACCGUGCAAAGGUAGCAUAAUCAUUUGUUCCCCAAUUAGGGACUAGUAUGAAUGGCUAGACGAGGAUUCAACUGUCUCUUAUUCCCAAUCAGUGAAAUUGACCUUCCAGUGAAGAGGCUGGAAUAAAACAAUAAGACGAGAAGACCCUAUGGAGCUUUAAUUAACUAGCCUAAUUAUAAUAAUCAAACCCUAAUGGAAUAAAAACAUAAACAUUAAGCUAACAAUUUUGGUUGGGGUGACCUCGGAGAACAAAAAAUCCUCCGAAUGAUUAUAGCAUAGACAAACAAGUCAAAGCAAUCCACUAUAUCCAAUUGACCCAAAAACACUUUGACCAACGGACCAAGUUACCCUAGGGAUAACAGCGCAAUCCUAUUUAAGAGUCCAUAUCGAAAAUUAGGGUUUACGACCUCGAUGUUGGAUCAGGACACCCCAAUGGUGCAGAAGCUAUUAAGGUUCGUUUG